AUUGAAAAGGGCAACUCACAAGAAGGACGGGAACAGCAAGCCGCUCUUUCGGCGUUUAUCGCCGACCUUGACUGCAUGACUCGCACUAAACUUUGGCCAAGGCUUUACAAAGCACAUAAACAGCACCGCAUCCAUUCUUCCGAGCUCAUUGCAGUUCGUGCAAACGCUACGAGCACUAGUACGGUACACGCGCUAAAAGGCCGGACUGGUGAUUCUUUUUCAAGUCACAGAGCGUGCUCAACAUGUAAUUAUCUUUCAAACAUUAUGUCUGACGGACAAGUUGCAGACCUGGGACCUAGGCCUUGCGAAAGAGUGACAUGUCUGGCCAACGAAAGUAAAAUAAUUAUUUUGGGUUGCCCACCACCACCUGAAUGCCCAUAUGGAGAAAACGAAGACUUGUGGCCGAACUGCUGCAACAGGGCAACAGAGGUAUAUUGCGGCAGUGGAUCACUUCAGUAUCACUACUAAUGCCAGAGGCAGUAUGCUUUUCUCGCCAUUGUUACAACCAUACAGAAUGUUACAAAAAUUACAGUUUUCCAAUACAUGAUAUGGUCAGUGCGGACAAUUGAAGAAUUUAGAUUAAAUGGAUUUAUGUAUGCCUCAAAA